rnacentral:rRNA from 1 species
GAUGAACGCUGGCGGCGUGCCUAAUACAUGCAAGUCGAGCGAACGGACGAGAAGCUUGCUUCUCUGAUGUUAGCGGCGGACGGGUGAGUAACACGUGGAUAACCUACCUAUAAGACUGGGAUAACUUCGGGAAACCGGAGCUAAUACCGGAUGAUAUUUUGAACCGCAUGGUUCAAAAGUGAAAGACGGUCUUGCUGUCACUUAUAGAUGGAUCCGCGCUGCAUUAGCUAGUUGGUAAGGUAACGGCUUACCAAGGCAACGAUGCAUAGCCGACCUGAGAGGGUGAUCGACCACACUGGAACUGAGACACGUUCCAGACUCCUACGGGAGGCAGCAGUAGGGAAUCUUACGCAAUGGGCGACAGCCUGACGGAGCAACGCCGCGUGAGUGAUGAAGGUCUUCGGAUCGUAAAACUCUGUUAUUAGGGAAGAACAUAUGUGUAAGUAACUGUGCACAUCUUGACGGUACCUAAUCAGAAAGCCACGGCUAACUACGUG